rnacentral:lncRNA from 1 species
UGUAUUCAGGCAACCGAACUCUCCUUUCUUAUGACCCAUGUAACCGCCUUCACUUUCCAGAACAAGCUGUUCUCAUUUCAUGUAACUGCAUUAUGCUUUAAAUUCUGCAUUUCUGUCAUACCUUAAAAUCUGGGAAUCUAUUGCCUAUCAAAGAGUGGGGUUUUUAUUUAUGUGUCUUGGGAGUGAAGGGCAUUCAGGACUUUUACACUUCUGUCAAAAACACUUUGCCAGUAAAAGAUGAGGACCAUCAUGUAAAGAAUUUAACCUCUUUCAGAACAUGCACACACAACUUAAUGAAGUGUGUGACAUUUAUGCCAACUGUUGGGCUUUUUUCUUAAUUAAAUGACAUAUAUAGAGAGAAAGCAUAAGGCACACAAAGACAGAAAGCAGAAAUUUGAAUUGUCCCUCAAAUAGGUGCCUCAGGACUUUGUGGCAUCUCAGGGUCUUUAGAGUGGCACUAACAUUUCAGUAUAUCUUUUGGGGUGCAUUUUUACUUCAUUUGUUUCAGUGCCAACUCCCAUGCCACCAAGAUUUGUGCUUCUAAUUGGCGCAAUAACUUCCAUUUCUAACUGAGCAGAGUACAGCCUUCGUAUGCACAGUGCAUGAGGUUAAUUUGAAACUUGUCUGUUAAUUUAAAGAAACCUGACCUGUGUUCUACAUUGCAAAUCCUGUUGAGUGAUGCAACUUUAAUUCUAACAACAGACAGAUUUUGCGUCUGUGUGCUUUUCCCUUGAUAUCAUUUUUAAGGCAAAAGUGAUGUGCACUCCUAGCCUGGGAGCUAAGUAGCAUCCACGGUGCUCUCACUUCCCUCCCUAGUUGCCACUUAAACUGCUAGUAAUAACAAAUCCUUCAGGACAUCAAUAGAGUCGCUGUGUUGAAUAAUCGCAGGCUAUCAGGCAGGAGGCUUGCAGCAGCAGCUCCAUUGCCUGUGACAUCACUCCUGAAGCUCAAACCCCACUCUAAGCAGCCUUCAUUAGUCAGUGUGUUGGUCUGUCUGCUUUUUCCAGAUCUACAGACCGUCACACGCGGGAGCAGGCUCUUUGCAGAGGAAGGACUUUGGGAAUCAGAAGCUCUGGGAGAGACGGCGGAAUAAAGAAGGGAGGGAGAGCGGCAGCGAGACCCAGAGAACGCAACAGACACACUUACAAUAUGAAAUUCAUCCUGCCUGGUUACUUGCUGUCCCUUUUCCCCGUUCUGGUUCUCAGCACCAGACAGCAAAGAGAAAGAGACAAAGGACCAUAGUCCCACAUCAUGGAACACAGUAAUAGAAACAUCCUGUCUCCAUCACUUCCCACUAUGUGGAAUGAAAGCAUACACCGUCAUGUGAUAAAAAACAACCCCAUGACUGCAAGCACGGGGCAAGAAUCCUAACACCUGCUACCCCAACAUCCUCUGCCUGAGGCAGCUGACUUAUUCUGCAAUAGGACCAACCACAUAAAUCUUGUAAGAUAUGGUAUGAAGGUUCUCUGUUAAUAAAUACUAUACCACAGAAGUUAUAAUAUAGCCACUAAUGAUUAUAAUCACUGAAAGCCAAUACAAAUCAAUAUGAAACUAGCAAUGUACCAUUUGGGGGGGUUGUUUUUAUUCUAUUUUAUUUUAAAAUGUAAGCAUUCUGUCUGAAAUAUUUUAUUUUUAGUCUAAGAUCUUGAGGAUUUUAUUUCUUUAUUUUUUAAAAAAAGUAAGAUAUGAAAAGUUAGCUGCAGUCUUAAUUUAAAGUGUGCAUUGUUUGUUAAUAACAAUCUUCUCUGUUUACUUAGCAAAAUAAUUGAAGAUGUGGUUGGCAAAAUAUGCAAAAGCAAUCAAAUUUGUGCACCUAGCAUGUGUAAUGUCUAAUCAACAAUGACUACUUCAAGCUCAAAGAUUGCUAAGGGAUCUCAAGUGAAAGGGGAAAAAAUGCAGGUUAUGCAAACUGUACAAGGAUUUAACCUACAAAGAUUCUAAGCACUAAUAAGUUUGACGACAGUCUUUCAGGUUUACUCACCACAGGGAUCAAUAUAUUUCAAGAAAUGUGUAUCCUGGAUUUUAUAUCCAAGUGAAAGGAAGGUAAGCCACCUUGCAGCUGGUUCAAGAUCAAAUGGCAUAAAAAGAAAACAUCCGAUACAGUGGUACCUCGGUCUAAGAACAGUCCUGUUAACAAACGAUUCAGGCAGCACACUCUGCAAAACUAGAAGUAGGUGUUCCGAUUAGUGAACUUUGCCCUGGAAGCUGAACGGUGGAAGGGCACCCGUGGCGAGAAGCCUCAUUGGGGAAAGCGUGCCUUGGUUUAAGAAUGCUUUCGGUGUCAGAACAGACUUCCGGAAUGAAUUAAAUUCGUAAAUGGAGAUACCACUAUAUAGCAC